rnacentral:rRNA from 1 species
UCCUACGGGGGGCAGCAGUGGGGGAUAUUGCACAAUGGGGGAAACCCUGAUGCAGCGACGCCGCGUGUGGGAAGACGGUCCUCUGGAUUGUAAACCACUGUCCCCAGGGACGAAAAUGACGGUACCUGACUAAGAAGCCCCGGCUAACUACGUGCCAGCAGCCGCGGUAAUACGUAGGGGGCAAGCGUUAUCCGGAUUUACUGGGUGUAAAGGGAGCGUAGGUGGCAGGGCAAGUCAGAUGUGAAAACCCGGGGCUCAACCCCGGGAGUGCAUUUGAAACUGUCCGGCUGGAGUGCAGGAGAGGG